rnacentral:lncRNA from 1 species
CAUGCCUUUUCGUUAUAUAGAUAGGUGCUUAUAUAUAAUUAAUAACUAAAAAAUGUGAUAUAUCUAGCUAGAUUUAUUCUCAUCUAUGAACAAUAAUGAAAGAUCCUCUAUAUAUCAUCAUUAUCAUUCAGAUCUAUACACAGAUCAGAAAGAAUGAAGCAUAAACUAGUGUAAAGAACGUAACAAAUGAUUGAAGAUUGAAAAUGAUGAUACAUAUUAUUAUAUACUGCUGUAUCUAUAGGCAAACCCUAGCUAGACCCAGCAAAGAAAAAUAGGUGUAUCUAUCGCAUUAACUUAAUAUCACUAAUAUAUGUAUGUUUCUUUAUCGAAUGGAUCGGAAUAAUGGACACAGUGAUGAG